CCCAGAAUUAUGGUUAAAAAGCAUAGACUCUAGAGCCAGAGUGUUUGUGUUCAAAUCCUGGUCCUAAAACUUAAUAGUGGCGCCGGGCGCAGUGUCUCACGCCUGUAAUCCCAGCACUUUGGGAGGCCGAGGUGGGCAGAUCACGAGGGCAGGAGAUCGAGACCAUCCUGGCUAACACGAUGAAACCCCAUCUCUACUAAAAAAAAUACAAAAAAUUAGCCGGGCGUGGUGGCGGGCGCCUGUAGUCCCAGCUACUCGGGAGGCUGAGGCAGGAGAAUGGCGUGAACCUAGGAGGCAGAGGUUGCAGUGAGCCAAGAUAGCACCCCUGCACUACCAUUAAAAAAGAAAAAAAU
rnacentral:lncRNA from 1 species